UGCCAAACCGGGUAGGAGGCGUGUGUGUAGAAGAGGCGUGUUGUCUCCCCAGCAGCCUCUUCCCAAACCUCUGGAGAACACCCUUGAAGGACCCGCAAGCAGUCUGAGAGUGUAGCUCCUGCCUAGCAUGCCCAAGGCCCUGGAUUCUAUUUCCACGUAACAAAAAUGGAUACAUGAGCAAUCUAUCUACAUCCGGGACCCCCCUGUGUUCAUGGUGUUUAAGUAGGACUGGACAUUUUUAUACAGGCUGAGUAUCCCAAGUUGCCAAAUUCAUAAACUUGUGCUUUCUGAUCUGCUGUAUCAACCAGACAGAAUUGCCUGGGAGGAAAAAAAAUAAUAAUAAUGAAAAAGCACAUAUAAGCUCUAUAAUUUGCAAAAUGCAGUCACAAAUCCUAUUUUUGGAAAGAAGUAAAUUCUAAAUAAGUAGAAUCAUUUAGAAAUUCCACCACUAAUGACGUAGGGCAGUUUUGAGGAAGACAAUAAAGCUUAUUAUUUGACCUAAUAUGUACACACACAGCGACACAUCUGCUGUCGAAUUAGGCCAGAAAAUGCACACAUAACAUCACAUAACAUAACAUAUGUAUUUAUAUUCAACAGGAAAGUAAUAGAACUGAAAUCCUAUUUAUUAGAACCUAGAAUUCCUUUUAGUAGCGCUAUCUUCAGCUAACUGACCUCACUGAAGCUCAAUGUCUUCAUCUAUAUAAAUGGAACAGCAAUUCAGUUAUUUAUGAAAGCCCCAGGUCUUGGCCCGGAGAAAAACCUCUAAUCGGCGACAGGGUCAGAAACACAACCAGGAAGACUAUGCAAGCUAUCCCCCACGUUCUGCCCAAGACACUCAGAGCAUUCCAGGACAGCAGCGCUGUGGCCACACCUGUGACAUUAUGGAUACUUCACAACCUGCAUAGGCCUUGACUGUUUUGCUUUGAUCCAUAGCUGCUCCAUGUACUCACGGAGCUCUCUCAUAACUCUGUGGGCUUGUGAUGGUUAUAUGCAGAUAUCUGCGGUGCCAGUCCAGAUAGGACAAAUUUCACAGUGCUAUCUCCGGAGUCAGUCAUCUACAGGCACUCGCCUCGCUUAUCAUUGUGGGUUGUCAGUUGCUCUGUUCACCCCUGAUAAAUGCACCAUCAUUACCUUUGACAUCUAUAAUUCAAGCAAGCCAAGCAAGCCUACAGGAAUACACUGGAUGUCUCACUGUUCCUUCCUAUUAGGCCUCUAGGAAUGCAUCACCAACUGCAAGAGUGUACUGAGAUCAUAUGUAGUGACUAUAUUAAGGACAAAGUCUGGGAUCUGCAAAGAGUUCAGAAAAUACUUGUUGAAUCUCAAAACGUACUUUUCUCGACCUCUCCCCGGAGACAGUCUCAGGUGAUGACCUCGCCCACUGCUAACCUUAUCUCAUCUGUACCUUACUGUCUGACCUGUCUCUCCAUGCUCCCAACAUGUCUGACAUCAACCCUACUGGACACUAGCCGUGGAGAACUCUCUUGAGCUCCAGACCUACGUUCCUACUGCGCUGAUUUCACGAGGCUAAGACCUAACUUGAGUUUCUAUGGGAAUUAAACGGAAUCACUGAGCUCCAACAGUUUUGGGUAUGGAAGCCAGAUCUGGUCGUGCAGUCUCCUGGCUGCUUGGGAGACUGAAACAGGAGAACCUCAAGUUCCAGGCUGUGCUACAGAAUGAGUUCGAGACCACCUGGGCAACAUUGGGAGAUCCAGUCACAAAAUAAGAGAGAGAGAGAGAGAGAGAGAGAGAGAGAGAGAGAGAGAGAGAGAGAGAGAGAGAGAGUGAGUCGGGGAUGGACCUCAGCAGCAGAGCGCUUGCCCAGCCUGUGUGAGGCCUUAGGUUCAAGUCCAUUACUGUGAAAGAGAAAAGGGUGAAGCAAACUAUACUCAGUAAACAUUGCCAAAUCAAACCAACACUACUGGGCAUACUGUCACUCAGUUAAGUCCUGUGAGGCUCACUUUUUGUCCAUUCAUGGGUAUAUCCAGGCAGCCAAUCAGCCAACGUGUAUUAAAUACCAGUGUCUACUAGGUUGGGGUAGAUCAACCGUCGUCCCUGUGCUCACAGAGUUCCAGGCUAGCAGAGGAGACGAGAACUGAGACAAACACGGCCAACCAUGGAUUAAAUGUAUAGAACGUUUACAGAAAAAGAGGUCGGAGAGAUGGCCCUGCGGAUAAGGCGCAUGCUGUGCGAGCAGGAGGAGGACCUGAGUUGGGACCCCCAGCACCCAUGGAGAUGCAAAGGUGGGCGUGGCAGACUGCACUGAAGGCAGAGAGAAGGGAUUCCCAGAGCAAGCUGGCUAGUUAGCUCUGAGUGUAAUUCAGAAACUUGGCCUUGAUGAAUAAGGUGUGCAAUGACUGAGGAAGAUGCCUGACGUCAACUUCAGGACUACAAACAGAUGUCUACAAGCACUACCUACCACACACAUGGAAACAAAUAAAUCACAAAAUAGUUUGUGUUGAACCUAUUCAAAGGAUGGCCAGAGCAUCACUAAGGAAGAAGAGUGUGCUCAAAAUUAUUGUGCUAGACUAAUAUAUGUGACUCUUAUUUAAUUGCACAGGAACUGAGUAAUGACUGUUUAUUCUGAGUACUUAUAAUGUAUCAGGCAACACCAAAGCAUCAUAUUACCCCCUUUUUUUUUUUGAAACAGGGUUUUUCUGUGUAGCUUUGGAGCCUGUCCUGGAACUCACUCUGUAGCCCAGGCUGGCCUCAAACUCACA